GCCAGGCACAGUGGCGCACACCUGUAGUCCCAGCGGCUCAGGAGGCUGAGGCAGGAGGAUCACGAGUUCAAAGCCAGCCUCAGCAAUUUAGUGAGGCACUAAGCAACUCAGUGAGACCCUGUCUCUA
rnacentral:sRNA from 1 species